rnacentral:lncRNA from 1 species
GGCCACUAGCCCCUUCCAUCUGUCUCUUUGUCUCAGGAACCCGAGGUCUGCAGGCCGCAUUCGACACCGGCACGGCUCACCCCAUCCAAGUCGCAGAACUGCGCCCGCCGUGGCCACCUGAUCCCCAGCUGUGUCUCCUCCAGGGCCCCAGCCAUGUGUUCGUCGCCCCGUGUGCCCCGUCCUCGAUUGAGGUCUGAGCCGACGCCCUUGCCCCUGCCCCUACCCCUGCCAGCGCCCACCCCCAGCCAGGGCCCCUCGCCUUCCUCCCCUGGACCUGGGGGGCCAGGCGGGGGUGGUGGACGUGGCCGGAAGCUGCUGCUGCCCACGCCCCUGCUGCGGGACCUGUACACCCUGAGUGGACUGUAUCCCUCCCCCUUCCACCGGGACAACUUCAGCCCUUACCUGUUUGCCAGCCGUGACCACCUGCUGUGAGGCCCAACCACCCACCCAGAAUCUGCCCAGUCCCCACUUCUUCCCUGCCACGCGUGUGUGUGCGUGUGCCACGUGAGUGCCAAAGUCCCCUGCCCCCCAAGCCAGCCAGACCCAGACAUUAGAAGAUGGCUAGAAGGACAUUUAGGAGACAUCUGCCUCUCUGGCCCUCUGAGAUAUCCCGAUGGGCACAAUUGGAAGGUGCGCACUUGCCCCUACUAUUGCCCUUUUAAGGGCCAAAGCUUGACCCCAUUGGCCAUUGCCUGGCUAAUGAGAACUCCUGGUUCUCAGAAUUUUAACCAAAAGGAGUUGGCUCCAGCCAAUGGGAGCCUUCCCCUCACUUCUUAGAAUCCUCCUGCAAGAGGGCAACGCCAGCCAGUGUUCAGCGACUGAACAGCCAAUAGGAGCCCUUGGUUUCCAGAAUUUCUAGAGUGGGUGGGCAUGAUUCCAGUCAAUGGGGGACCGCCCGUGUCUAAGCAUGUGCAAAGGAGAGGAGGGAGAUGAGGUCAUUGUUUGUCAUUGAGUCUUCUCUCAGAAUCAGCGAGCCCAGCUGUAGGGUGGGGGGCAGGCUCCCCCAUGGCAGGGUCCUUGGGGUACCCCUUUUCCUCUUAGCCCCUCCCUGUGUGCGGCCUCUCCACCUCUCACCCACUCUCUCCUAAUCCCCUACUUAAGUAGGGCUUGCCCCACUUCAGAGGUUUUGGGGUUCAGGGUGCUGUGUCUCCCCUUGCCUGUGCCCAGGUCAUCCCAAACGCUUCUGUUAUUUAUUAGGGCUGUGGGAAGGGUUUUUCUUCUUUUUCUUGGAACCUGCCCCUGUUCUUCACACUGCCCCCCAUGCCUCAGCCUCAUACAGAUGUGCCAUCAUGGGGGGCAUGGGUGGAGCAGAGGGGCUCCCUCACCCCGGGCAGGCAAAGGCAGUGGGUAGAGGAGGCACUGCCCCCCUUUCCUGCCCCCUCCUCAUCUUUAAUAAAGACCUGGCUUCUCAUCUUUAA